rnacentral:rRNA from 2 species
GACGAACCGAGCGAACGUUGUUCGGAAUCACUGGGCUUAAAGGGUGCGUAGGCGGGCUGCCAAGUUUGGGGUGAAAUCCUCCGGCUCAACCGGGGAAGUGCCUCGAAUACUGGCGGUCUGGAGGGAGGUAGGGGCGUGCGGAACUAACGGUGGAGCGGUGAAAUGCGUUGAUAUCGUUAGGAACUCCGGUGGCGAAGGCGGCACGCUAGACCUCUUCUGACGCUGAGGCACGAAAGCCAGGGGAGCGAACGGG